UGAAUACGAGAUGCUACGGCGUCGAAGCAGUGUAUGUCAGACUUCCAAGAAAAGCUCGCAAUGUCAUAAAUAAAGAAUGCCUGUACCAUAACCGACACAGGUGGGUAGGUAGAGUAUACUAAGGGGCGCGAGAUAACUCUCUCUAAGGAACUCGGCAAAAUAACUCCGUAACUUCGGGAGAAGGAGUGCCUUCUUGAAGAAGGUUGCAAUAACAAGAUCCAAGCAACUGUUUAUCAAAAACACAGGUCUCCGCUAAGUCGAAAGACGAUGUAUGGGGGCUGACGCCUGCCCAGUGCCAGAAGGUUAAAGAAGCUGGUUAGCAAUAGCGAAGCUGGUGACUGAAGCCCUGGUGAACGGCGGCCGUAACUAUAACGGUCCUAAGGUAGCGAAAUUCCUUGUCGGGUAAGUUCCGACCCGCACGAAAGGCGUAAUGAUUUGGAUACUGUCUCGGAGAGGGACUCGGUGAAAUAGACUUGUCUGUGAAGAUGCGGACUACCUGCACCAGGACAGAAAGACCCUAUGAAGCUUUACUGUAACUUGAAAUUGAAAUUGGACUUUAUUUGCGCAGUAUAGGUGGAAGGCGUUGAGAUUACUCUUGCGGGAUUAGUGGAGCCAUCAGUGAGAUACCACUCCUAUAAUGUUAGAUUUCUAACUUUGGAUCAUAAUCUGGUCAAAGAACAGUUUCAGGCGGGCAGUUUGACUGGGGCGGUCGCCUCCCAAAUGGUAACGGAGGCGUACAAAGGUUUCCUCUGAACGGGUAGAAAUCGUAUCUAGAGUGUAAAGGCAUAAGGAAGCUUGACUGUGAGACCUACAAGUCGAGCAGGGACGAAAGUCGGUCUUAGUGAUCUGACGGUGCUGAGUGGAAAGGCCGUCACUCAACGGAUAAAAGUUACUCUAGGAUAACAGGCUGAUCUCCCCCAAGAGUUCACAUCGACGGGGAGGUUUGGCACCUCGAUGUCGGCUCAUCGCAUCCUGGGGCGGUAGUACGUCCCAAAGGUUGGGCUGUUCGCCCAUGAAAGCGGUACGCGAGCUGGGUUCAGAACGUCGUGAGACAGUUCGGUCCAUAUCCGGUGUAGGCGUUAGAAUAUUGAGAGGAGCCUUCUUUAGUACGAGAGGACCGAGAAGGACAUACCUCUGGUGUACCAGUUAUCGUGCCAACGGUAAACGCUGGGUAGCUAUGUAUGGAGAGGAUAACCGCUGAAAGCAUCUAAGUGGGAAGCCCACCUCAAGAUGAGUAUUCUCAUC
rnacentral:rRNA from 1 species